rnacentral:rRNA from 1 species
AUUGAACGCUGGCGGCAUGCCUUACACAUGCAAGUCGAACGGCAGCACGGGAGCUUGCUCCUGGUGGCGAGUGGCGAACGGGUGAGUAAUAUAUCGGAACGUAUCCAAUAAUGGGGGAUAACUAGUCGAAAGAUUAGCUAAUACCGCAUACGCCCUGAGGGGGAAAGCUGGGGAUCUUCGGACCUGGCGUUAAUGGAGCGGCCGAUAUCUGAUUAGCUAGUUGGUGAGGUAAAGGCUCACCAAGGCAUCGAUCAGUAGCUGGUCUGAGAGGACGACCAGCCACACUGGAACUGAGACACGGUCCAGACUCCUACGGGAGGCAGCAGUGGGGAAUUUUGGACAAUGGGCGCAAGCCUGAUCCAGCCAUUCCGCGUGAGUGAAGAAGGCCUUCGGGUUGUAAAGCUCUUUCGCAAGGGAAGAAAACUUAUCCUCUAACAUAGGGUGAGGUUGACGGUACCUUGAUAAGAAGCACCGGCUAACUACGUGCCAGCCGCCGCGGUAAUAC